rnacentral:tRNA from 1 species
AUUUAUAUAGUUUAACAAAAACCUUACAUUUUCACUGUAAAAAUAAAAUACCUUAUAUUUUUAUAAAUU